rnacentral:lncRNA from 1 species
CGCUACGUGCGAUUUACACAUUUUAAAUGUAUUUAUAUGCGAGGAUUGGUUCAAUGUAUAGAAACAUUAAAUAAAGGUGAUUAUCAACUCUAAUAAUACAGGCAUGAAUUUAAAGUAUUUUAUCUAGAAUAUGUAAAAAAAAAAAGUAAUAAAUAACAUAGAAGAUCCUUAUACUGUAGUCGCAACUAAAAACUAAAUAAAAAGUGUAAAAACAAUUCAAGAACUUCAAUCGACCUUGAUACACUUGACAACAAAAUAUAUCAUGAACUCAUAUCGUUUUGUCCUGUAAUCUGUACCCCAAAAGCUAGCGCAUGAUCGUUUUUCAAACAUUGGCAAGCAAAACCCCAUAUAUAGUUCCACAAAAUCUUGGCGUGAUUGAUGUCCAACACUCUGCAAAAGAAGAAAAAGAUUUUCAAAUGGAUUAUGGAACUAAAACAACGCACCAUUCCACCAAUUUUGAUUUAAAACUAUGAGCAACUCAUUGGGAGAAAAAUGAUGAAUAGACUGUUGAGAAAUCUUUUUUGGACGAUUCAAAAGUGAAUAGCAUAAAAAAGACAAUUUAAUUUUUAAUAUUAUACCCUAAUAUUUUAUAGGUUAAUCUAUUUAGUCAAUCCGUCAUGUGUGGUUUUUAUCAUAAUCCUCUUUCUCCUUUACAUUUGGCAAUUGUGUAGAUUUGCAUCUCUAGUAAAAAAUUUCUUCUAUUGUACUUUGUUUGUUGACAAAGUAUUUUGCAAAAAACAAAUAAGCAUCGGUGACAAAGAGUAAAUGAAAUACAUACUAUCAAACUAAAAUACAUACCUUAGAACGAUUAUUCCCACCACCACAGCCUUGUUCGUUCGAUAUAUGUUUGACUGAGAGGAAUAAAAAAUCAUGAAAACUAGUCUCAAUAUAGAGGUCAAGCAACAUUUAAUAGUAAGGAGAAAAAGAAAAAAAAGUAUCAUAAAAAAUAGGACCAAUCGAAAAUUAUGGAAAGAAAAGAGGAAUAAAACUCAGUUAACUUCACAAAAGAAAUUUUAUCAUCACAAUAGAACACUUAACACACGGUAAACCUCAUCUUACUAUUUCACAGCAGAAUAAGUAAAUUUUUUCCUUGAAGUUGAAUGCUCUCCAAAUGGAGAAGAGCUUGUUCUUGGUCUUUUAGAAUUCCUCUGGACUCAUGUAGGAAAUCUCAGUUUAAGCCCUUCAACCAUCCUUACAAUUAGUCAGUCUCUUCCUAAUUUCUUCCUUCAUCCCAGACAUAUGCUCUCUAAAAACUACAAACUCAAUGAACACACCUUCCUCAUAAAUACGAUUUCUCAACAAUAUGCUCCCUAAACAAAUAAUGUUGAACACUCAAAAAUGUCAGGUUAGUUCUAUAGUAUGCAAGGAGUAACAGUUCUAGUCUUACCUAUUGGGAGAAUAAUGUAAAUUCGUGAGGGCAAAUCAUAGAGACAAAAGAUCGAAACAAAUGGCUUACUAAUUGAGUCGACUCUCAUCUGAAACAAAGGAAGCAUGGCAACAGGCAACAUACCUGGAAAAGAAAACGUUAAAUAAUAAGAAAUAUUGGAGAAUCUAUAUACACAAAAUAUUCAGGAUUUAAAAAACAUAAUCUUCAAAAGCCAGAUUUAAAAAAACAUAAUCUUCAAAAGCCAACAAUGACAAAAUCACAUACAAUGGUUCAGAAGAACCUGAAUCAUGUGAUGUACCUUGUCUUUUCUGAUGAGCUUGCAUCCUGCAAGAGGUGCAACACUGAAGGUUUGAGCAAGAAGCUUAUCACCCAUUCAAAAUUAAUUAGAAACAAAAUGAAAUUUGAGCAAAUGAUCGUUUGCAAGGCCGACAUGCAUACAAUUCAGAGACGAUGGUUUACCUUUUUGUUUCUAGAAGUUGAAAACAUAAUCUUGAGAGACGAUGAGAUUUUGGAAAACCGAGGAAAUUUGAUUAAAAAGGGAUAUGAAAUCGGAGAAAUUUGUGGAAACGUACAGCGGUUUCCAAUCGCCCCUGCAGAACGGGGAAUCGUUGCAGAAAAUUGCUUCUAUCUCUAGCUUUAGC